rnacentral:rRNA from 1 species
UACGGAGGGGGCGAGCGUUAUUCGGAAUUGCUGGGCGUAAAGCGCGCGCAGGUGGCGCAGUAAGUGGCUGGUGAAAGCCCUCGGCUCAACCGAGGAACUGCCUGCCAAACUGCUGCGCUUGAGGCCGGGAGGGGGAGGCGGAAUUCCUGGUGUAGCGGUGAUAUGCGUAGAUACCAGGAGGAACACCGGUGGCGAAGGCGGCGUCCUGGACCGGUUCUGACACUCAUGCGCGAAAGCGUGGGGAGCAAACAGG